CUACUAUUUUUUGACAAACUUGGCAAUUAUAUUAAUUAUAUUAUUUAUUUUCAUUGUCCAUUUUCAAAUAAUUGUAUUUUUAUAUUGUAAUUUUAAAAAUUGAAUUCUUAAAAUGAAUUUACUAUAUUCAAUUAAAUAAUGCAACAAUAUAUAUAUUUUCUUUUUAAUCAAACAAAAAAUAAUACAAUGAAUCAGAGAAAAAAAAAAGCUGAAGCUUCGUCGGCCUGUGAAGAAUUUGAUGGGCGGCGAAGAAGAAUGUCGUCAGAUCGUGAAGGGCUUGGUCUGCGGAAGGUGAAGAGCUUGGACGGCGGUGGAGUAACACGGUGGUGGAAAUAACACGACCAAGAUGCCAAAUCAGAGGACCGGAGAUAAGAUGGUUGUCGAGAUGUGUUGGUAGUGAAGCACGACGAGUGAUGCAGUGGUGUUUGUGGUGAACGGCAGUUCUCUGUGAAAUCAAAGGAGGCACUAAUUAGUCAUGAAAGAAAAGAAAAAACAAACAGAAAAUAAAGAUCUGAACUUCCAAGAAAAAAUAAACUGAAAAUACAAUUCAAAGUUGGUGAACGCAGAAGCUUUGUGAUGUAGCUUCAAGAUCUGGACAACAAGGUGAGAAAAGGAGAAUCGAUUGGUAGAGAUGAAAAAUAACAGUGAAUGGGAUAGUUGAUAUGUGUUCUUUGUGUCUAAACCUAGAAGAAACGAGACAAGGAGGAGAAGAAGAGAAAAGGAAAAAAGAGAAAGGGGAGAUUUAGGCCAUUGGAUCUAAUUAAUCAAUGGUGGAUGUUAAACCAAACGGCAAUCCUUGACUUUAUGUAUUAGCCAAUCAAAAGAUUUCCUCUUUUAAAGUAAACAAAAUUCAUAUAUUAUUUUAUAAACAUUAUUGUAAACUUAUUUUAACUAAGAAAAAUGGAAAUAAUCCAAGAAUCACUAUAAAUAAG
rnacentral:lncRNA from 1 species